CGGGUGAGUAACGCGUAUGCAACUUACCUAUCAGAGGGGGAUAGCCCGGCGAAAGUCGGAUUAAUACCCCAUAAAACAGGGGUCCCGCAUGGGAAUAUUUGUUAAAGAUUCAUCGCUGAUAGAUAGGCAUGCGUUCCAUUAGGCAGUUGGCGGGGUAACGGCCCACCAAACCGACGAUGGAUAGGGGUUCCGAGAGGAAGGUCCCCCACAUUGGUACUGAGACACGGACCAAACUCCUACGGGAGGCAGCAGUGAGGAAUAUUGGUCAAUGGCCGAGAGGCUGAACCAGCCAAGUCGCGUGAAGGAAGAAGGAUCUAUGGUUUGUAAACUUCUUUUAUAGGGGAAUAAAGUGGAGGACGUGUCCUUUUUUGUAUGUACCCUAUGAAUAAGCAUCGGCUAACUCCGUGCCAGCAGCCGCGGUAAUACGGAGGAUGCGAGCGUUAUCCGGAUUUAUUGGGUUUAAAGGGUGCGUAGGUGGUGAUUUAAGUCAGCGGUGAAAGUUUGUGGCUCAACCAUAAAAUUGCCGUUGAAACUGGGUUACUUGAGUGUGUUUGAGGUAGGCGGAAUGCGUGGUGUAGCGGUGAAAUGCAUAGAUAUCACGCAGAACUCCGAUUGCGAAGGCAGCUUACUAAACCA
rnacentral:rRNA from 1 species